rnacentral:rRNA from 1 species
CGGGUGCGUAACACGUAUGCAACCACCUUUUACAGAGUAUAGCUCGGUGAAAACCGAAUUAACCCUCCAUAAUAUCAUUUGAUGGCAUCAUUAGAUGAUUAAAACUGCGGUGGUAAAAGAUGGGCAUGCGUUUGAUUAGUUAGUUGGCAGUGUAACGGACUACCAAGACGAUGAUCAAUAGGGGACCUGAGAGGGUGAUCCCCCACACUGGCACUGAGAUACGGGCCAG